GAAUUUAGGCAUUCUCCUUUCAAGUUAGUUUUUAUUUUCCCAAGAUGGAGAUUUUUAAGCAGGGUGGGUGGAUUUUACCCUUGGGACACCCUUCCUGUUGUCUCCGUGAAAAGUACCAGGUGUGUAUUUAAUGAUGCUAAUUUCUUUAAGAGUUAUUGUUGCUUUCAAAUCUACUUUGUUUGUAAGGUUAAACUUUUUUAAACAAUAUUUUCAUCAACAGUUCAUCUUUUAAAUAUCUUUGUUUCUAUUUUCUUUCUCUCUGUCACUGGAAAAAUGUACACAGCUGGUAUACUACCUUGUAUUAAAAUUAUAUCCACAAAACAAAUUACUCUACUAUUCCUCUAUUUGAUUUUCUUAAGUUCUCAGGACAUGGGUAGAAUGCAGCCAGAUUCCUUGCCAGAAUAUCAUAUAAAUGACCUCCAGUCCAGUUCCUGUAGAGUUCUUAUUCCCUUCUGAAACCUCUUAAUCUGAGCCUCCAUUGUCCAAAUUUCUAUUAGUGUUCUUGUCUUACUAACUCACACCAUAAUAUUUCAUUAAAUUGUUUAAAAUAUUUAAGGACUUUUAUAGCCCAGAGUUCCUACUUCUUCCACAUUCCUCCCUCAGUCCAGUCCCAAAGGUUUACAAAGCACAUACUCAGUUUUAUCACAAUGAUUUCCUGCAAAUCUGUAAUAUACUUUGCUCAUUUUUCUCAAUUCUGCCUAUGCUUUAAGGCAGUGCUUCUUGACCUUCCUAAUACUGCAACCCUUUAAUACAGUUCCUCCUGUUGUGGUGACCCCCAACCAUAAAAUUAUUUCAUUGAUACUUCAUAACUAUAAUUUUGCUAUUGUUACAAAUGUAAUAUAAAUAUCUGAUAUGCAAUUCCUAUGAAAGGUCAAUCAACCCCUAAAGGGUUGAGAACCACUGCUUUAAGGUUAAAUGUAAGCUUAUUUCCUCAGGAGAUAUUCUCUUAAUUGUCCAACAGGCAAUGGAGUUUAUUUCUUUUCUUGUCUGCUGUGCCAGUUAGUUGGCAUAUCAUACUACUUAACACAGUGCGAUGUAUUACCAAUAUGCUCUAUAGUAUGAUGUGAACUAAGAAAACCUAACUUUAGUGAAUUUGUCUUUGACACCAUUUCUAUCACCUUACUUAUUUUCCAUUCUUCUGCCUCUUGUGCAUCUAUAAUUUUCAUGUUCUCCCAAUUUCUCAGCCCAAUUGCUGACGUAGCCCGUCUAGCCUCUUCUCAGGAAGAAGUAACCAAUCAUUCACCAACUUCCCAUAAUGCUCUUGAUUCAAACUUGACUACAGAAGUGAAAUAAUCUUUUUUUAGGAAUAUGGUACUAGUAACCCUUCAGACAAGUCUGCAUUUGACACCAGUAUCUGCUUUGGUUGCUGAAAUUUUAGGAUAAUUUGGGUAUUGUUUAUAACAGAGGGAUGGAAAGGAUCUCAGAGAGUUUGGGGUAGGUUAUUUGUCUUGGUACCCACCAAGAUAUAUCAUGUAAGUUACUUUCUAUUCUACCUGAGUGUGCAGUUGGAUUUGGCUGCAAUAUUUUCAUCUUUUUCAUGUGUAGCAGCUUCCUGUUUCUGUCUUUAAAAGAUAAGCAUUCUUUACAAACAUUCCUUUUAAAUUAAUUCUUUGGGGAUUUCAUACAAUGUAUUUGGAUCAUAUUCACCUCCUCUAUCCCCCAUAUCCUCCCAGAUCCACCCAUUUUCCCUACCCACCCAACACUUUGUCUUCAUUUUUAUAAAAUCAAUUGAAUCUAUUCUUAUAAAAUACCUGCCUGGCAAAUGGAAUAUUAGCAUCUCAGUCUGAGUGUCUAGUUUUCUCCUGGACUUUGUGCUCCAGGGAAAUUGGUAUUUCAACCUUGAAAGCUGGGGUACUAUUUAUGGAUACUUGAGGACAAGUAACAGUUUAGAAAGACAUUAAUCCCACGUACAGUCCUGCUCUUGAGUUGCUUCAGUCCAUGGUAUUUGGGCUCAGAACUGCGUCUCAUAUGGGUUGUUCCUGCAAAGCUAUUUCUGAAUCUUCUGGAUUUACAAAUCAUUUGGUACCCAGCUGUUAUGUUGCAUGAUUCAUGGCUAUGGGUGCCUUGCUUCAAACACUUGUCAGCAGUUUCUUCCCUGUGGUUGCCUUGUGAUUCAAUUGUUUUGGUGUGGUAUGUAACUCCUCACAUUCAUUUGGGAUCUGCCUCCCCCAACUUCUGUCACAGAACAAAUGAGUCAGUAUCUAAUGGUGUUGGCUUCCAGUUUCCUCUGGUGGGUGGGUGCGAGAGAAGAUGGUGCUGUGAGCUUACUGAGGAGGCUGGCUGUUGUGCUGCCAAAGUGCCCUGAAAGGGAGAAGACUGGCUACAUUUCUCAGAAUGAAUAUUCAGGAAGCAUUCAGACAAGGCCAAAGUAAAGGUCGUCAUUGUUCAGUAGGUGGCAGUGUGGUCUGGUUUGAAGAAACACAGCAAAUUAAUGCAUGAGUUUAUAGUGCUUUAUCCUGAUGCCUUUGACAGCUGACUUGAGAUUUUUUUUUUCUGAGUGUUUUAGUACCUUUAGUCAAGUGCUCUUAAAAAAACUCCUCAGUUCUUUAGAAACUUCUUUCUUAGUAGUGAGUGGCAUAUUUUUGUGACAAGUACUGUAAUCUGAAGCUUUAAGAAGCUUUGUGGCUAAUUGUUAUUAGCUGGACACCUUGCCUGGAUUGCAGUUUCCUGCCUGGGGUGGAAGGAGCAUUUGCCUUUCCUACUGUGGGGGUUAUUUUGUUGAGUUAAUCAGCUUUAGCCCCUAAGUCUUACUAGUUUCCUUUUCAGAGAGGAGCCUCCUAAGACCCCAUGUGUCAGCUCUGUCAGGUUCCCUUCAGACUUCGGGAAUCGCAUAUUUACCAUGGCUGAGCUUAGCCUGCCAUAGCAAAAUGCCCUCUGUCAAACAGGCAUAAAUCGCACACUCUGUCUCUGCACCUUGCCCAGCACUGCAAAGCCCUUCUACAGAAUAGCUUUGUUCUCAAUAUACAAGUAGAAUCAUUGAAGAGAGUUGCUUUUCUAUAAGGAGCCUACUUUCUGGCACAUGCAAGAAGAAAGAGAAGUUGCACUGACUAGAUGGUGUCAUCCUUGGGAGAAUUGUUGGCUGCUUGGUUCGAAUCGAUAAGGCUGAAAAAAGGCUUUGUUUUACUGGUACCCCCUUUUUAUUAUAGAUUUUCAGAAUUAUAAACACUGUAUCUUAAGGAUGAAUUUGAGACCUUUGUGUUGUUUACAAAUACUGGAUGAGAUGCCCACGGACAUGUUCCCAUAGUUCCAGGGGGUCUAAGUGAGACAUUUGUUAGUUGAGCAAUGUUCUUUGCCUUAGAUAGGAUAAGGAGACUAUCCUCAUAUAUACAACUGUCUCUCAUUAUUUAUAGUAGUCACAUACUCCAAUUUCUAAGACAGUUGAAUUAGCCAGGUUUACUAUGACCCAAUUGUUCAACUUAUCAAUAUAUAAUUUUGUUUUCAUGUGUGCUUCUGUUUAAAGACACCUCAUUUAACAUAUUUUGUUGAUUCAUUAACAAUGUACUCAUAGCCAACAGCAACUUGCAUGCCUGAAUUAAGAUUAUCUGAGCAUAUUUUAUCUACAAGUCAUAACAUUUUACAUUUAGAAACAUUAGACUGCACUUGAGGGCUAUUUAAAAUAUGGAAAUUAAAAAAACCUACAUAACUGAAAAAUAUGACACUAACUAUUCAGUAAAAGGAACCUUGUUUAUAGUAAGAGCUAAAUUUAGAAGAUAGAACAUUGUUUUGUCACCUGAUGGUGUGCACACCAGUGACUUGUUUGUAUUUGCUAUGCUGACUGUGUACAGACAUGUGAUUGACUAUGAAAUGACUGCUCUUAUUGGGCAAAUGGCAAAUAAAUCUUUGGAAGGUAAGCAGUAUAGCAAAUAAAGAAUUUGUGGCUAAUGAGAAAUAGUUGUAUUUGUGCUAUUUGGUGCCUAUUUUAAUAUUUUAUUUUGAUUAUUUUUAAUUAUAUGUGCACCUAGAAUCUAGAAGAGGGUGUUGGAUCCCCUGGAGGUAGAGUUAUAGGUGGUUGUAAAAAAUCAGAUGUGGGUGCUAGGAACCAAACUCAGAUCUUCUGAAAGAACAGUAUACACUCUUAACCACUGAGACAUCCCUCCUGUCCACAUUAUCUAUAUUUUUGUGUUUGAAAUUCUUAAUCUUAUACAGCUUCCUCUACUAUAGUCAGCCAUACUGAUAGGAACUGACCAGGAAGUUAUAUCACAAGCUCUUGUGUAGGGUAUUAGAGUUUCUCAAACCGUAUUAAUCCAAUGGUUUUCAAAUGCAUUAGUCAGUGGUUUACUAUUUAACAAUUCUGUGCAUUAGUUAGGCUUACAGAUAGAGAUAAAUUAGAAAAAAAUAAAUAAAAACUUCAUUUAGAAAUGCAGAUAAACAACCCCUUUACAUAAAAGUCUGAGUAUGUGUAUUUUAAGAUCAGCAUUUGAUUUAAGCUCAGAAACUUAAGGAUGGUAACCUGAGUUCAACUUGAUGACCUUUAGUAAGACUAUAAGUCUCUCUGUUCUAUUCUUUCUUUGUAAAAACAUACAAAAAUACAAAACUAUUUUAUCUACCCAUUGUCAAUACAGGAAAAUAAAGCAAGUAUAAAAUGUUGUUGUACUUUUCCAUAUAACCCCAUUCUUGGGCUUGACCACAAUAAGUCUGAAAAAAAUUCUCAUUUUUAGUUUUUGAUACUUUAUAAUUUCUGUUCUUAAAGCCACACAGAAUAUUAUAAUAGUAUUUCUUCUAUUUGAUUUCCAUUUCCUAUCUCAAGUUAUAAAUUCACAGUUUCCUCCAUUAAUUCAUUCAUCUAAUUUUGGAUAAUAUUUGUUGAGAAUCUACUAUAUAUUUGGCAUUAUGGUAGAAAUUUGGGGUACAUAUGUAACUAAAAGAUAGUAUUCACAGAUCUUUUGUCUGUGAGGCUUUUUGUUCCUUUGUGUUGAAUAUCUUUAGUUUUUCACACACGGAAUGAAUUGAUGUUUUCCCCAUAGCUUUGACCACCUUCCUCUGAAUAAAGCAGUCAGGUUUUUCCUCUAGAGAUAGGGUCCCAUAUCACAAGUGAUUGACAGAUAUUAAGAGCUAUCUGAGUUUCAGUAGCAGUGCUGUGCUCUUGAGCAAUGUAUUUAGCCUCUUGGGAUUCCCAUAUUCUCCUCUAUUAAAUGAGAAGGAUGGGGUUUCCUAGGCCAAUGUGGAGAUUAAAGAAGAUAAUGCCCAUAAAAACCACCUAGCUUAGUAUCAGUAUGUGAGUGUCUAAUAAAGAGUAAAACAUUUUUCUAGUUAUAUUUGUUAAACAGCAUAAGAUGACUCUGGGCAUUUUGGCAGAGAUACGUUUUGUUGUUACUGCCUUCUAAAGUUGUAAUCACCUCAAACCCCCAAUUCAUUUUCUGUCUUCCAGGGAAAUUACUUCUAUCUUCCAGAGAUGUGCUCAGAUGUCAAGCCUGUUUCAACCUCUUUAAGACGCAUUUUGACCAUCUCUGUUUGCCUGGCUUGUAUAUCAUCUUCCUGAGAGACGGAUGUAAUUUCAGUUCCAGGAUCGAUGUGGCCAUGUUAAUGUCUGUGAGCAGGGCUGCUGCAGAAGACCAUGUUGAUGUCUGUGAUCCUUACUGUGACUGGAAGCCAUGUUGAUGUCUGUGGUCCAUGUUGCCACCAGAAGCCACGUUGAGGUCCAUGUUUUCAUGGUACCUCAGGGGGAUGGCUUGCAGGUGAGUUCCAGCUAUAUUCCUCCAAGUCCUAAAUCUGAAGUUUGUGGUGUCUUCAGCAAUAGGCUAUGAACUUCAAUUUCUGGUAAGUAAUCAAGGACAAUGAUAAUAGCCUAUAUUGUUUUGGAGGUCUCUUGGACUCCCCUGAAUAACAAUAGGAAAGAAAUUUUCACAUGUUAUUAGAUAGUCUAUGGCUUUUGGGGAGAGCAUUAUUAUCCCAAGUAGCAUAACUUCAUUAUAUAUUAAUUUAAAUAUUAAAUAUAUUUAAACAUAUAUAAAUAAAUAUUAAAUAUAUAUUUAAGUAAACAUAAAAUAAUAUGAUUCCCUACAGCUUUUUCAAACAUCUACAUGCUUAUUUAUCUCUCCUUUUUCUAUUGCUUACCCCCAGGUAAAUCUUUCCACCCCUGUGUUCCCAUUUCCCCUUGUAACAGCACCUGUAUCCUGCUCUUCUACUUUCUAGAGCUCUUCCACCUCCUUGGCUCCUUUUCACUUUCCUAGUAUCUACAGUGACUUCAGCCUAUGUACUCACAUCUAGACAUUCGACCUAGGACCUACUCAUAUAAGAGAAAAUGUGGCAUUUGUCCUUCUGGGUCUGUGUUACCUCACUCACUGCAAUGUUUUCUACUUCCAUUCGUUUACCUCUAACGGCAUGAUUUCAUUUUCCUUUACAGCUAAAAGAAAGAGUUUACCUGACCACAUUGCCAUCCCCAAAUCCUGUAUUUCUUCAUCUUGGUCAUAAAGAUAUCAUCAAAUUUCUUUUACAAUCAAGAAUUACUUGGUCAACUAUUUUUUUUCCUGAUCUAACACUUGAAAGUACUUUUCAUACAACUAACUAGUAUAAGGUUCUUCAUUUUAUAGAGCAGUUUUAUUAGCAAUUAUAAAUAACAUAGAAAUAAGAAGCUUGAUAAGUGAUUUAGGGUUUCUAUAAUUUAAUUGCUUAUAACACUUAACAAAAAUGAAGAUAUAUCUUACAUUCUGGAUCAUACUUAGAUUCAGUACUGUUAGACACAGUUACUUCAUGGCACCCUAAAAGCAGUAGUAAUUAAUUCCAUCAAUGCUCAUUUUCUCACUGAAUCCAGAAAUCUCUUUAUAAAAUAAAAUAAAUGCAAUAAAGUUUGUCAUUCUACAGAUAUAAUGAGGUCUUGGAUUUCAACCACUGUUAGGAAAAGAACAAAGUAUACUACUUAAAUUGGCAUAUUUCCGUUUCAUUUAAUGAGGAAAGAUUUUGAUGAAAGGAGAGGUAGAGUUGAUGAGCCUACUGGUUCCUUCGUUAGUGGAAAGGUUGAUUUAGAAGAAUGCACAUAGGAAGGGUAAUAGUACAGAAAAGCUUAAAUAACACAGUAAAUCCUUUUUGCACUGGGAAGUCAGAUAUACGUCAUCUGCUUUUAACUACCUUUCGACAGAGCCUUGAAAUUAUGUGUCAGAUAUGCCUGUUUUCUAAGUUAACCAAACUGUUUAUGUGAUUCUGGCAGGUGUUGAAGCCAGGGGGCCCUUUGUGUGCUGCUAGGGGUGGGCAACAGGAGGAUGGUGAGUACUGGAGGGAGGGAGGAGCCCAAAGCAGUAAAAAGAUUCAGAAUAGGAGCAACUGAGUGGUUGAAGACCCAGAUUCUCUAAUUAACAAUUCGAGGGUGUUGCCCAGGGCAUGACUGUCCAUAUGGCCAGAACCUUCACCCCUGUUCAUAUUCAGACACAGAUCUAGCCUUGAAAGUUCCCUCCAGAGGCAGUUCUGCCUAUCCAUUUUUUCUCUAGUUUGCAUUUCUGCUUUUUCAGCCUUCUGCACAAAUGCUUUCUUGGCAGUAUGUUUUUUGCAUACUUCUCUCUAAAGGCUGGACAUUGAUAAAUUUGGCUGCACUCCUUGUGGCACAUUCAAGCAUUAAAGAAUCUGCCUGUGUGUCUAUUUCCUUCUUUGUUUUACAUCUUGCAGUUUCCAACUGAGGUCAGUCAGCAGGCUGAGUGAUGAAAAGGACUGUUCUAUUCUUGCCCAGUGCUUAAGGAAGUGUGUGUUAGACCCCAUUUCAUUCAGUGUGCUGCUUCUUUGCCACAGCCCUCAGCUGCCUCAUCAGCCUCAGCUGCCUCAGCUGCCCUGCUUGUUGAGACUGAAUUAUGGUCCCUGGUGGAAAUAACUAUGAAUGAUCUUCAAGGAAAUAAUAUAGACUAAGAGUAAGCCAGAUCUGGAACUCAAGCCUCCAUGGUUUAUGUGACAACAUCCUGCUGAAAACCUUCAUGGGAAUGUUUCUAAUGAUGCCAGGGCUGGACUCCUAUCUCAUUUGACUCAUGGAGCUGCCAACCACAGUGCUUAGGAGACCCAGAAGACCAACAGCAGCAGAAAUGACAGCAAGGAUAAUUUAUUGAGGCAAGGGUAAUUUAUUGACUUGAUAGCCUCUGAUCCUUAGGUGUUUUUCUAUUGUAGAUAUGCUUAAUGCAAAGGAUGUCUGGGUGAAUUUCAAUUCACUAUCAUUUGCUCCCGGUUCCCUCUGUCUUCAUCCCUGCUUAUGUACAGUCAUCUAAGAUUUCCAUCGACUUGAGUUUCAUUUACUGUUGUUCUCCUCCUUGUACCUUAAGACCAGAAAGCCUUCCUUUUUAUUAUUGUUCAUGCAGAAUCCUGCACAACAGUCAGCUUAAUAUAGUUGUCCACAUUUGUUUUGGAGGGGGGCAGGAGGAAUCAUGAAUCUACAUGUUUAUAUCAUGAUUGUUACAAUGGCUUCUUAGAGGCAAUAGCUACCUGAAGGCGUCUAAACUACUUAAAGUGCUUGAGAUAAAAUAAACGUUAUUAGGGGUUUACCACACUACUUUUGAUUAGAUGUUCAAAGGUAAGGUUUGUGAAUCUGCAUUUCAAUAAAAUUCUUAAAUGAC